CUACGGGUUGCAGCAGUCGAGAAUCUUUAGCAAUGGGCGAAAGCCUGACUAUGCGACGCCGCGUGAGCGAUGAAGGUCUUCGGAUCGUAAAGCUCUGUCACACCGGAUGAAAGUUCAGCAUUUGAAUAAGGUGCUGGAUUGACAGUACGGUGAGAGGAAGCCACGGCUAACUCCGUGCCAGCAGCCGCGGUAAUACGGAGGUGGCAAGCGUUGUUCGGAUUGAUUGGGUGUAAAGGGCAUGUAGGUGUCCUGGUAAGUCGGGUGUGAAAUCCUUCAGCUUAACUUAAGAAUUGCGCUCGAUACUGCUAGGAUUGAGUGCAUGAGAGGAGAGGGGAAUUGUCGGUGUAAGGGUGAAAUCUGUAGAUAUCGAGAGGAACACCUGUGGCGAAGGCGCCUCUCUGGCAUGUAACUGACACUGAAAUGCGAAAGCGUGGGGAGCAAACAGGAUUAGAUACCCCGGUAGUC
rnacentral:rRNA from 1 species